UACGUAGGGUGCAAGCGUUGUCCGGAAUUACUGGGCGUAAAGAGCUCGUAGGUGGUUUGUCGCGUUGUUCGUGAAAACUCACAGCUCAACUGUGGGCGUGCGGGCGAUACGGGCAGACUUGAGUACUGCAGGGGAGACUGGAAUUCCUGGUGUAGCGGUGGAAUGCGCAGAUAUCAGGAGGAACACCGAUGGCGAAGGCAGGUCUCUGGGCCGAUACUGACGCUGAGGAGCGAAAGCGUGGGGGAGCGAACAGG
rnacentral:rRNA from 1 species